GAAUCAUUAAUGUGUCAUUAGUGAUAAAGGAUUGGUAAAAUAGUGAUAGUACAAUCUUAUUAGUGUUGUCCAAAACUGGUGCCAGAAGACUCGGUAAGGCCAGAGACGCAAACGUUAGUAGUCAUGAUCAGGCGUAAAGGGUGAGCAGGCAGCUUUGUAUUAUUUUUACUGAUAAACACAAAGAUAGAAUCAUAUACAAGAUAAUUGAAAAAUACUAAGAGUAAGGUCGAUAUCUACAGAUACUUGGUAGAAUACUAAGGGCGAAAGCUACUUUAUCUAGCAAUGAUUGACGCUAAGGAACGAAGGGUAGGAUAGGAAAAAGGAUUAGAUACCCAUGUACCCCUACCUGUCAACGAUGAGAGGUGAGUUAUUCUUUUUAAUUAGAAUAGCGUAGUAAACACGAGGACCUCUCCGCCUUGAGAGUACGACUGCAAAGUUGAAAUCAAAAAAAUUAGUCGGUCUUGGAGCAAACGAAGUGGAGCAUG
rnacentral:rRNA from 1 species